ACAGAGGGUGCAAGCGUUAUUCGGAAUCACUGGGCGUAAAGCGUACGUAGGCGGCUUGGUAAGUCGGAUGUGAAAUCCCUCGACUCAAUCGAGGAAGUGCAUUGGAAACUGCCAGGCUCGAGUAUAGGAUAGGAGAACGGAAUUCCUGGUGUAGAGGUGAAAUUCGUAGAUAUCAGGAGGAACAACGGUGGCGAAGGCGGUUCUCUGGACUAUAACUGACGCUGAGAGUACGAAAGCGUGGGGAGCAAACAG
rnacentral:rRNA from 1 species